GGGCAACAUUUGAGGAUUGUGAAAAGAAGAGGAGGAAGAGGAUGAAAACUCGCUCGACGUUAUUGUUUCUGUAAAUCCAGAGAAGAAAAAUCUGUGAAUUCUUUACUUUCAUGAGUUUCUUCUCAACAGGAAAGUUCCUCGUUGUUCCGCUCAUUCAAAAUGGCCGACUGCCGAGCUCCAGGUGGUGCAACACCGGAGACGACGCUUCACUUCCUGUUUCCUGUCAACCGUCCGACGCUGGUUCCAUUAAACCAUGGUUCAGCAUCUGAGUCAACCGCUGCCCUCCGGCUGUGUGAACUGGAUCUGGGCCUUUUCAUCACAAAACCCUGCAGCAGCCAGAAGAGAGAAGCUCGCGUCCCCCCUCCGAGUGAGUGGGCAGAAGAUUGUGAUGAAGAAGCAGGGGGCAAGUGUUGACAAGGAGGUGGAGAGAAACUUAAAGCUCAACGGAGAGUGAAUGUUGGACAAACAUUCGUUGGGUCGCCAGGCAACUCCUGUACCAAGUCCGUCAAAUCAACAUAGUCGGGUGAUAACGCGUCAGUAUCCUGUCUACAGCGUGCUGCGCUGCCCCCGAGUGGCUGGAACAGGUUUUUAUUACACGUUUAAAUGGCCGUAACUCAGCAGGGAGGAAUCAUCCAACCAUCAGUCAGUGGGCGCCAUUGUCUGUCACUGUGUUUGUUCUGGAACAGAUUUUUGAAUAAAGCUUUAGACUUUCAAAUGUUUGAAAACACAUAUAAAUUUUUUUUCUUUGGAACUAGAACGUUAUGUAAAAUUGGCGGCGGCGUGUUUCCUCUGAGCUCAGAGGCCACGCCGGUGUCACCUCUGUGUGCC